AUUGAACGCUAGCGGCAGGCCUAACACAUGCAAGUCGAGCGAGCGGCGGACGGGUGAGUAAUGUAUGGGGAUCUGCCUGAUGGCGGGGGAUAACUACUGGAAACGGUGGCUAAUACCGCAUACCAUCAGAUGAACCCAUAGGGGAUUAGCUAGUAGGUAGGGUAACGGCUCACCUAGGCGACGAUCCCUAGCUGGUCUGAUAGGAUGAUCAGCCACACUGGGAAUGAGACACGGCCCAGACUCCUCCGUGAGGCAGCCGUUGGGAAUAUUGAACAAUGGGCGCAAGCCUGAUGCAGCCAUGCCGCGUGUAUGAAGAAGGCCGUAGGGUUGUAAAGUACUUUCAGCGGGGAGGCGUUACCCGCAGAAGAAGCACCGGCUAACUCCGUGCCAGCGGCCGCGGUAAUUC
rnacentral:rRNA from 1 species